GAAAUACCAUUGGGUCUUUUCGCGAUCGGACGGCGCCGGCAGCGCCACCGUUCUAACGAUGCGCGGAU
rnacentral:sRNA from 1 species